AAAAGCCUGUGGGGGGAAUGAAAUUAUAUUUUAAGUGAAUGUCAAAGUACCACAACUUUCAUGCUGUAUGUUUUUUUUAACUGACAGUCGGACAGAUUCCAUAAGUUUUGCUCUCAUGUCUUUGUUUUCUGUGCAGAUUGGCCGUGGCUUCUUCUGGAGGGUUACACCCACUCGCCUGGGAUCCUCCAUGGAGCAGUGCACAGCUGUCUGAACUCUGAGUUCAUUAGUUUGAACUCUAUGUAAAUACCUCCGUUUCAGUACUCCAGUGUCUUUUCAUUUCUCUGCACUGUGCUGAGGAGGAAUGCUCCACCUGGAUCUGGGAUGGAACUUCAUGGGCGCCUCUUCUCCUCAACAAAUCAGACUCCGUAUUCCAGUACUUCAUGACGAGUAACGCAGGGUACGUCCGAAGUGGUUUGAUGGGCAGAACUAAGCGCCCGGGUUUGGCUGAGAGGGACAUAAGAGCAGGCGUGUUUCCACGUCUUCGACCAAACUACGCCUCACUGGGCAGCCGCAUCCCAGCUUCUUCAGCUCAACUUCAUCCCCUCAACUUCCACAUCUUCUCCUGGGCCUGUGUGCUGGGGCUUCGGAUUAACUCUAUAAACGGGUCAACGAUUCACAAAGUGUCAGCUAAGACAGAACCGGUUAAAGUAACUCUAUCCGACAACCAGACUGACCUUGUAUGAUACUUCCUUGUUUUGGGGUAUUUCAUAGGUUUCUAAACACUCCCCCCGAACAUUGACUGGGUUUCAGGAAGAGUGCUGUCCUGGAGCACUUUUUUUGUUUAAUGAACUGUUUAAAUGUUUCUGUUUCUUGCACCCUAAACAGACCUCUGGACCCGUGUGACCCAGUGUGAGGACUUGCUGUCCGCUUUUAGUCCAAGGAGGAAAAAAAUUCUAAUAAUAAUAAAAUUAAGAGAAUUGUUGUAGUAAAUAAGAAGAAUACCAUAAAGUUCAAGAGGAUAACAAUCAGAUUCUCCUCCAUGUUCAAUUUGGACUCCAACCACUGAUCGCAUUUACACAUCUUGGGCCAAAGCUGAGUAACUAAUUGGUUGAUGCAAUAAAUCUCCUUUCCCAAAGUUCAAAGGUGAAUUUCGAAAGAACUCCUACUGCUCUGCAGAAACUAUAUCCUAGAAGUCGACUACGGUUUUUUUGGAUUUUGGCUAAAAUCCUAAAUAAAAGACUACUUUAAGAAUCAAUCAAAAUAUGAUUGG